rnacentral:misc_RNA from 1 species
GAAAGGAAAUAAUUUUCUGCGUUAUAUUCAGAGUUUACUUAUUAUUUUAAUUUAAAAUUGGGACGCGAAAAGUUGUGAAAUAUUUCAUAAGUUUGGUUUAAAAGUGCUAGGCAAAAGUUAAAAAUUAUUUUAUGGGGCAAAAAUGUUGUUAAGAGCCGAAGAUAAGUGAAAGGGACGCGUUGAAAAUUUUCACGUUUAAUGCCGGUGUGGUUGGUAUAGAAGUCCGUACCGAUUUAAUAUACACAUUUAUUAAUAAAUAACGCUUAGGAAAAAUUUUCCCACAUAAUUAAUAUAAUAAUUUGAAUUGGGCUUGUGUAUAUUGGACAGUUUUGAAUUGUAAGAGAAAAUUUUGAUAUUUGUGAAUAUCUACCAUGGCUGACGGUGCCGUGCUAGAUCUUUAUGCAGAAGAUUUGGAUAAAGAUUUUGCCGCGCAGAACCAGGAGGAAUUUGCCGCUGAAGGCGUUGAUUUAUACGAUGACAUAGGUGGCCCGACGGAGCCCGCAUCUGUUUCGGCAGGUGUGCCAGGCUCUGUAAACUCAGAAAACGCUGCACCAGUUGGCGCUGACGCAACCGGUAAUGGUGGCGGUUCAAAUGGUCUCUACCAUAAAGGAGGUGGUAGUUUAACACCAAAUCAUAUGGGCAGGCGCUAUCAACUUUAUGUUGGUAAUUUAACUUGGUGGACAACCGAUCAAGAUAUCGCUAAUGUUAUGCGCGAAAUUGGAGUAAACGACUUCCAAGAGGUAAAGUUUUUCGAAAACAGAGCCAAUGGACAAUCUAAGGGAUUUAAUGUCAUAUCCCUUGGCUCAGAAGCGAGCUUACGACUGGUAUUAGAGCGUUUACCAAAAAAGGAGUUGCAUGGUCAGGCUCCUGUGGUAACGUAUCCAACAAAGCAAGCGUUAAACCAAUUUGAAAGUUUGCAGAAGACACGUCCGGUACCGCCGUCACAACAAAACGGACCUCCACGUGGUCCAGCCCCACCAAAUAUGGGUGUGGGAGGACCAAUGCCUCCUCCGCCUGGAGGACAAGGUGUUCCACCGGGUCAUCCACCACGCAUGAUGAAUCCCAAUAUGGCUCCUGGCCAGUAUCGACCACAACACAUGCCACAAGCUCCACCAGUCGGACCAAAUGCAGGUCCACCACGUAUGCAGGCACCAAUGCAUCAAGGAGGCGGACAUAUGGGGCCACAGCAGCCAUUACCUGGUCCUCCACCUCGGUAUCCGCCCAACCAAGGUCAAUGGGCUGGAGCUGGACAACCACGGCCGAAUGGACCACGCACCGGACCGCCAAAUGGGCCACCACAACGACCACAAAUGUUCCAGGGUCCACCGGGCGGUAUGCCAAUUCGAGGUCCACGUCCUGAUUGGAAUCGACCACCCAUGCAUGGUGGAUUUCCGCCACAAGGUCCACCUGGUGGUCCACCCCAAGGACCUCCACAUAUGCAAGGACCGCCUCGUGGUCCACCUGGUGGUCCGCCUCAAAUGGGUGGUCCUCCAGGUGGACCGCAUGGAGGUCCCGGUGGACCUGCACCGCAUGUAAAUCCAGCAUUCUUUGCUCAACCAGGUGGUCCUCCCCAACAUCCUGGCGGUCCACCAAUGACUGGUCCACCACAUGGCCCACCAGGUCCACCACAGCAAGGAAUGGGUAUGCCACCACAGCAUGGCCCACCACAACACUUUGCCCAACAAGGGGCACCACGAGGUCCAUGGCCAGGCCCAUCUCCGGCGAAACCUCAAGGUCAAUUCUCGGACCAGCCAAUAGGUCCCCAAUUAUCCGAGGUAGAAUUCGAAGAAAUUAUGAGUAGAAACCGUACUGUUAGCAGCUCAGCUAUUGCCAGAGCCGUCUCAGAUGCCGCAGCUGGGGAGUAUUCCAGUGCGAUUGAAACUUUGGUCACAGCCAUUUCUCUUAUUAAACAAUCGAAAGUGGCACACGAUGAGCGUUGUAAGAUAUUGAUCAGCUCUUUGCAAGACACAUUGCAUGGCAUUGAAACGAAAAGUUACAAUCGUCGUGAACGUUCACGAUCUCGUGAGCGCACCCAUCGCCAUAGACAACGUCGGGAGCGUUCAUCAUCGCGUUAUAGAGAACGGUCACGCGAUCGGGAACGCGAACGUGACCGUGAACGUGAAGCAGGAUAUAGGGAGCGCUCAAGAAGCCGCGAACGUGAACGUCCCGUUCCAGAUCACUAUCGAGAUGAUAGUAGCUCCAGUCGUUCUGCACGUCCAAGAAAAUCUCCAGAAGCAAUUGCGGAAGUCGUUAGCGAUGCACCGUCGAAGCGCAGCUAUUAUGAGGAGCGUUAUCGUUCGUCAGAUCGUGACCGGGAACGCGACAGGGAGCGAGAACGUGACCGUGAUAGAGAUAGGGAUCGCGAGAGAGAACGUGAUCGGCGUGAAGAGCAUCGUUCACGACACUAAGAAGAGAGGGUGGUGUUUAAAAGUAAUCUUAACAAGCACUUGCAAAAAAAUUAAACAAUAUAUAUAUAUCUAUAUACAGUAAGGGAUGUAGCAACGGUACUCUUAAAAUUGGCUCUAGCAACGUAUGUUUUGCGAAUUUACAUUUUCAAUUGAUUUCAAUUUAUUUAAUAGAUUUAAAUGAUCUUUAAAUACAAAAUAUUAAAUAAUUUUUAAAGAAAUCGCAAAAUGCGAUUUCAGUGGGGACGGCUUCACAUGAAAACAACAAUAUCAACUCAACUCAACAGAAUCGUCUUGAUCCAGAUAUGAAUGGAAUAAAACAUAUACAUGAAUAGAUGUAAACUCUUAUGUCGGAAACUACCACAUCUUCAAUCUAAUAUAUAGCAAGAUAUUACACAAAAAAAAAAUGAAAUUAAACAUACCACUUUUCACCACAUACCUACUCUAUGGAGACGUAAUAAAUAUGAGUGGAAUGAGAGUUAUAAUACUGAGCUGUUUGAUGGAAAUCCAAUACAAGUUCAACAAAGGAAAUGGCUAUUUCUAAAAGCGGCAUCAGCAGAAAUAAUUUAACAGUUUACAGAAUCUUUCCUGCGCGUUCACAUCAGAAGAAGAUUGUAUAUUGAUAUUUCCAUUUAUUAAUAAAAAAUAAUAUUUUAAAAUGUAAAAUUGCAAA